UGGGGAAUAUUGCACAAUGGGCGAAAGCCUGAUGCAGCGACGCCGCGUGAGGGAUGACGGCCUUCGGGUUGUAAACCUCUUUCAGCAGGGACGAAGCGAAAGUGACGGUACCUGCAGAAGAAGCACCGGCCAACUACGUG
rnacentral:rRNA from 1 species